rnacentral:rRNA from 1 species
GAUGAACGCUGGCGGCGUGCCUAAUACAUGCAAGUCGAGCGAACAGACGAGGAGCUUGCUCCCUUGACGUUAGCGGCGGACGGGUGAGUAACACGUGGGUAACCUACCUAUAAGACUGGGAUAACUUCGGGAAACCGGAGCUAAUACCGGAUAAUAUUUCGAACCGCAUGGUUCGAUAGUGAAAGAUUGCUUUGCUAUCACUUAUAGAUGGACCUGCGCCGUAUUAGCUAGUUGGUAAGGUAACGGCUUACCAAGGCAACGAUACGUAGCCGACCUGAGAGGGUGAUCGGCCACACUGGAACUGAGACACGGUCCAGACUCCUACGGGAGGCAGCAGUAGGGAAUCUUCCGCAAUGGGCGAAAGCCUGACGGAGCAACGCCGCGUGAGUGAUGAAGGUCUUCGGAUCGUAAAACUCUGUUAUUAGGGAAGAACAAACGUGUAAGUAACUGUGCACGUCUUGACGGUACCUAAUCAGAAAGCCACGGCUAACUACGUG